rnacentral:tRNA from 2 species
CGGGGCGUAGCAUAAUGGUAGUGUGCUUGAUUUGGGAUCAAGUGGCCCGGGUUCGAUUCCCGGCGCCCCGA